AGCUGCGCGGUGCGCACAGAGCAAACUAUUCUUUCUGCAUUUUACUAAAAAAUACCGCGUGCGCGCCGCAAAUAGCGGGGGUGUUUAUUCAUCGUUUUUGGGGGUGUUUAUUCAUU